GUUAUCAGACUCGGACCGGAUCGGCCAGUUCGAUCCGGAACCCGUCGAGCCGGACCCAAAUCCGAUCCGAUUGUAAAGGAAUUUAUGGCGAAUAAACAACCCGUUUGAACCGCUGGUUUUACACAAAACCCGAUUACCAACUUUUCCUUGACCCGAUCGGGUCUUAAGCAGCCUGUGUUUCACUUUCCUUACAGAUUCCAGUUUCCCCACUCCCGUCUCCUCACAGCUUCUAAGAUUCUUGCAAAAUUAAAAAUCUCAGCCACCGUCUCCAGUCUCCUAACGGCUUCUUCUCACUCAUGGAACAAACAGUGCCACUAUGGUCACCUGAGAUCUGGAAUCUUUCAUCUGAACUUAACACCAGAAAGAGUCCCAGUGAAAGAUCUCAAGAUUUUCACAGCUAAUUCCUCAGCAAAGACAGGCUAUUAUUUUUCAAUGGCUUGUUAAGUAGGCUUUGAAGCUAGGCUGUAAAAUUCUUUACCUUUAACUAAAUCUUUAAUCAAUCGUUUCCUCUUUAUAAGUAGGGUUUCAUUCAAAAUGCUCAUUUUUUCUCGCUCAGUGUGUAAAUUUUUUAGAUCUGGUUUCGAGGGGAAGAAGGGUUUGCUAUGGUUUAGAUCUUGUUUUUAGAUCUCACUCAGCAUUUUUGUUUUUAUUAAGAGCAAAGGGGCAAGUGCCAAGUAGGAGAAGAUGGCUCAGUGACUCAUUUUGUCUGUUGUGUUAGGAGAUGUCUCACGCCUGUGUAUAGUGUAUAGGAGCCAUUUAGUUUUCUAAAGUAUGAUAAUUCCUUUGCACUUUCUGGUUUGGAUUAAAAAAUAUUAAUGGGAGAUUGGAGAAGAUGGCAGAAAAGGACUGAGAAAUUUGACACACCUUCAAUUUCGUAUAAUAAGUAAAGACAAACACUAACUUCGUUGAAUAAGAUUCAAAUGAUGGUUUUAUUUUUCAAAGCAUAUUUCACUGAUCUUGAAUUUGUGAAAUUUGAAAUACAAAUUGUUCUUUAAUUAACAAAAUAAUAUGAAGUUAAUUUAGUUAUUGGAAGAAAAUAGUAAAAUUUUAUUAUUCAAUGAAAAUAAUUAAUAAUUUAUGACAGGCAUUGACUCAUCGGGUCGACGGUUGAACCACUGACCCGUUGACCUGCUACAUUUUCCGGGUGGGGUCUGAUAACUAUGGUUAUUCUAUAUUUUGUAGAAGUGAUUUAUUGUUUGUUGCUUAAAAUAUGAUUAAUCAUGUAUUACAAAUAGGAACCUUCCUACUGUAUUUGAAUUUCUUAGAAUGUGUUGAUCUAAGUGUACGUACUCUUUUAUGUUGGAGUAUGAUAAUUCUCUAUUUUAAGAACUCUGGCAAUAAAACGAAAAAGGUUGAUCAGAAUAUUUCAAGUGGCGUAAUCAACAUGGUGGAAGAGAUGAGACCUAGGCAGAUGCACAAUUAUUCAAGUUUGAGGAAACAUGGAAAAAUUUCUAUUUGAGUAUCUUGGACAAUCCAAAGUUGAGGUGAAGAUCGUUAAAAAAAUUUGACUUGAUUUUGUCUAAACUAAAAUUAGGAAUUGAAUAUUUUUAUGUUUCAUGGUACUAAAAUAUAAUUUGUGGUGUUCUAUGUAUUAUAUGAGUAGUUGAUUGUUUCUCACUUGAAAUAUAAUUAUUUUUUG
rnacentral:lncRNA from 1 species